UACGAAGGGGGCGAGCGUUUGUUCGGAAUUACUGGGCGUAAAGGGCGCGUAGGCGGCGACCCAAGUCAGAUGUGAAAGUCCUGGGCUUAACCUGGGGACUGCAUUUGAUACUGGGUUGCUUGAAUUCGGGAGAGGAUAGCGGAAUUCCCAGUGUAGAGGUGAAAUUCGUAGAUAUCGGAAGGAACAUCAGUGGCGAAGGCGGCCUUCUGGACGGUGACUGACGCUGAGACGCGAAAGCGUGGGGAGCAAACAGGG
rnacentral:rRNA from 1 species